rnacentral:rRNA from 1 species
GGUUAAGCGACUAAGCGUACACGGUGGAUGCCCUGGCAGUCAGAGGCGAUGAAGGACGUGCUAAUCUGCGAUAAGCGUCGGUAAGGUGAUAUGAACCGUUAUAACCGGCGAUUUCCGAAUGGGGAAACCCAGUGUGAUUCGUCACACUAUCAUUAACUGAAUCCAUAGGUUAAUGAGGCGAACCGGGGGAACUGAAACAUCUAAGUACCCCGAGGAAAAGAAAUCAACCGAGAUUCCCCCAGUAGCGGCGAGCGAACGGGGAGCAGCCCAGAGCCUGAAUCAGUGUGUGUGUUAGUGGAAGCGUCUGGAAAGGCGCGCGAUACAGGGUGACAGCCCCGUACACAAAAAUGCACAUACUGUGAGCUCGAUGAGUAGGGCGGGACACGUGGUAUCCUGUCUGAAUAUGGGGGGACCAUCCUCCAAGGCUAAAUACUCCUGACUGACCGAUAGUGAACCAGUACCGUGAGGGAAAGGCGAAAAGAACCCCGGCGAGGGGAGUGAAAAAGAACCUGAAACCGUGUACGUACAAGCAGUGGGAGCCUCUUUAUGGGGUGACUGCGUACCUUUUGUAUAAUGGGUCAGCGACUUAUAUUCUGUAGCAAGGUUAACCGAAUAGGGGAGCCGAAGGGAAACCGAGUCUUAACUGGGCGUUAAGUUGCAGGGUAUAGACCCGAAACCCGGUGAUCUAGCCAUGGGCAGGUUGAAGGUUGGGUAACACUAACUGGAGGACCGAACCGACUAAUGUUGAAAAAUUAGCGGAUGACUUGUGGCUGGGGGUGAAAGGCCAAUCAAACCGGGAGAUAGCUGGUUCUCCCCGAAAGCUAUUUAGGUAGCGCCUCGUGAAUUCAUCUCCGGGGGUAGAGCACUGUUUCGGCAAGGGGGUCAUCCCGACUUACCAACCCGAUGCAAACUGCGAAUACCGGAGAAUGUUAUCACGGGAGACACACGGCGGGUGCUAACGUCCGUCGUGAAGAGGGAAACAACCCAGACCGCCAGCUAAGGUCCCAAAGUCAUGGUUAAGUGGGAAACGAUGUGGGAAGGCCCAGACAGCCAGGAUGUUGGCUUAGAAGCAGCCAUCAUUUAAAGAAAGCGUAAUAGCUCACUGGUCGAGUCGGCCUGCGCGGAAGAUGUAACGGGGCUAAACCAUGCACCGAAGCUGCGGCAGCGACACUAUGUGUUGUUGGGUAGGGGAGCGUUCUGUAAGCCUGUGAAGGUGUACUGUGAGGUAUGCUGGAGGUAUCAGAAGUGCGAAUGCUGACAUAAGUAACGAUAAAGCGGGUGAAAAGCCCGCUCGCCGGAAGACCAAGGGUUCCUGUCCAACGUUAAUCGGGGCAGGGUGAGUCGACCCCUAAGGCGAGGCCGAAAGGCGUAGUCGAUGGGAAACAGGUUAAUAUUCCUGUACUUGGUGUUACUGCGAAGGGGGGACGGAGAAGGCUAUGUUGGCCGGGCGACGGUUGUCCCGGUUUAAGCGUGUAGGCUGGUUUUCCAGGCAAAUCCGGAAAAUCAAGGCUGAGGCGUGAUGACGAGGCACUACGGUGCUGAAGCAACAAAUGCCCUGCUUCCAGGAAAAGCCUCUAAGCAUCAGGUAACAUCAAAUCGUACCCCAAACCGACACAGGUGGUCAGGUAGAGAAUACCAAGGCGCUUGAGAGAACUCGGGUGAAGGAACUAGGCAAAAUGGUGCCGUAACUUCGGGAGAAGGCACGCUGAUAUGUAGGUGAAGCGACUUGCUCGUGGAGCUGAAAUCAGUCGAAGAUACCAGCUGGCUGCAACUGUUUAUUAAAAACACAGCACUGUGCAAACACGAAAGUGGACGUAUACGGUGUGACGCCUGCCCGGUGCCGGAAGGUUAAUUGAUGGGGU